UUCUUAUAGUUGAGCAAAGAAUUCACCAGGCUUGUGUCACAAGACCUGAGCAAGUCCUUUUUUGAAGGCCUAGAUCGUCAUCUCUCGAAGCUUAUACAGUUAUUCAGGUCAAAGCGUUAUGAGGACAUUCCAGAAAUGACGUCAAUACUGCAGAGCCUUCAUAAGGAUACAACAAACCAAAAGAUGAGGACAGGAGCAUUGCUAGGUCUGCCAUGGUACAUGCGAGCCCAGUGACUGUGAAGAGGAUGUGAUCAAGGGUGUGGUGAUUGGAAUUCUUGUGGUUGUGGAAAAUGUGAUGGAACCUCUCCCAGCAUUCUACAAUGACGUUGCCCUGGUGAUUGUGGAAGAAGUGGUAAUGUGUCACCUGACAUACGUAAAGCUUUUCUGAACCUGAUGGGCCUGGUGUAUGCAUUAAAUCUUGACUACCCAAAGGAACUAAAAUUCACUUUUGAAGUGAUACAGCGGCUGUUUAUUGGAGUUGGAUCAGACUCUUGCACCGCAAGAGUUCACUCUUUGAAGACCAAGUUGCUGCGAUAAGAUAAAACAAACAAAACCCUUUUUCCAUUUUGCUACUGUUUAUUUGUUGUACUGGUUUAAAUUUUAAGAGCAUUGUUGUUUUUAGAUCUCUGUUUUAAGUGGGAAAUUGGUAUUCUUGAAAUCUAUCUUUUUCUAUGAUUGGGAAUUGAAGACAGUUUUUGAACAGUUUAAUGUAAAGUUUAACACAACCUAUUGUGAAUUAUUCAAGUACACUUGUUCUUGCAAUGAAUAUAUCUGAUGACAAGGAGAGUUAUUUUUACUAUUUUGGCUCUAAGA